UCUAACAUGUGCGCGAGUCAUUGGGAUUUUUUUAAACCUAAAGGCGCAAUGAAAGUGAAGGUCGUCCUUAGCGUCGACCGAGGGAGGAUGGCUCGCGUCACGAUGCGAGCCCGCACUCCCGGGGCGUCUCGUGCUCAUUGCGAGCAGAGGCGCACCCAGAGCGUACACGUUGGGACCCGAAAGAUGGUGAACUAUGCCUGGUCAGGACGAAGUCAGGGGAAACCCUGAUGGAGGUCCGUAGCGAUUCUGACGUGCAAAUCGAUCGUCGGAACUGGGUAUAGGGGCGAAAGACUAAUCGAACCAUCUAGUAGCUGGUUCCCUCCGAAGUUUCCCUCAGGAUAGCUGGCACUCGCUUGAGCGAGUCUCAUCUGGUAAAGCGAAUGAUUAGAGGCCUUGGGGCCGAAACGACCUCAACCUAUUCUCAAACUUUAAAUGGGUGAGAUCUCUGGCUUGCUUGAACGUUGAAGCCACGAGAGCAUAUUGCAAUGGAUCAGAGUGCCAAGUGGGCCAAUUUUGGUAAGCAAAACUGGCGA
rnacentral:rRNA from 1 species